UACGAAGGGGGCUAGCGUUGUUCGGAAUUACUGGGCGUAAAGCGUAUGCAGGCGGAUCGUUAAGUCGGGGGUGAAAUCCCGAGGCUCAACCUCGGAACUGCCUUCGAUACUGGCGAUCUUCGAGUCCGGGAGAGGUGAGUGGAACUCCGAGUGUAGAGGUGAAAUUCGUAGAUAUUCGGAAGAACACCAGUGGCGAAGGCGGCUCACUGGCCCCGGUACUGACGCUGAGAUACGAAAGCGUGGGGAGCAAACAGG
rnacentral:rRNA from 1 species